ACAUGCAAGUCGAACGCUUUUUCUUUCACCGGAGCUUGCUCCACCGAAAGAAAAAGAGUGGCGAACGGGUGAGUAACACGUGGGUAACCUGCCCAUCAGAAGGGGAUAACACUUGGAAACAGGUGCUAAUACCGUAUAACACUAUUUUCCGCAUGGAAGAAAGUUGAAAGGCGCUUUUGCGUCACUGAUGGAUGGACCCGCGGUGCAUUAGCUAGUUGGUGAGGUAACGGCUCACCAAGGCCACGAUGCAUAGCCGACCUGAGAGGGUGAUCGGCCACACUGGGACUGAGACACGGCCCAGACUCCUACGGGAGGCAGCAGUAGGGAAUCUUCGGCAAUGGACGAAAGUCUGACCGAGCAACGCCGCGUGAGUGAAGAAGGUUUUCGGAUCGUAAAACUCUGUUGUUAGAGAAGAACAAGGAUGAGAGUAGAACGUUCAUCCCUUGACGGUAUCUAACCAGAAAGCCACGGCUAACUACGUGCCAGCAGCCGCGGUAAUACGUAGGUGGCAAGCGUUGUCCGGAUUUAUUGGGCGUAAAGCGAGCGCAGGCGGUUUCUUAAGUCUGAUGUGAAAGCCCCCGGCUCAACCGGGGAGGGUCAUUGGAAACUGGGAGACUUGAGUGCAGAAGAGGAGAGUGGAAUUCCAUGUGUAGCGGUGAAAUGCGUAGAUAUAUGGAGGAACACCAGUGGCGAAGGCGGCUCUCUGGUCUGUAACUGACGCUGAGGCUCGAAAGCGUGGGGAGCGAACAGGAUUAGAUACCCUGGUAGUCCACGCCGUAAACGAUGAGUGCUAAGUGUUGGAGGGUUUCCGCCCUUCAGUGCUGCAGCAAACGCAUUAAGCACUCCGCCUGGGGAGUACGACCGCAAGGUUGAAACUCAAAGGAAUUGACGGGGGCCCGCACAAGCGGUGGAGCAUGUGGUUUAAUUCGAAGCAACGCGAAGAACCUUACCAGGUCUUGACAUCCUUUGACCACUCUAGAGAUAGAGCUUCCCCUUCGGGGGCAAAGUGACAGGUGGUGCAUGGUUGUCGUCAGCUCGUGUCGUGAGAUGUUGGGUUAAGUCCCGCAACGAGCGCAACCCUUAUUGUUAGUUGCCAUCAUUUAGUUGGGCACUCUA
rnacentral:rRNA from 1 species